rnacentral:ribozyme from 1 species
UGCCCAGCAACUCCUAUCCCUACCUCCUCGUGGUACUGGCCGGGGUACGAGUAACCUUGGGGAAGAUCGGGUAACCAACCCCGGUGGGAACUUUGGUCGUAUGCUGAGCUAACAGGGAAGG